rnacentral:lncRNA from 1 species
AGGGAGAGAGAGAUUAAAAGACAGUAUCUUUAAAACAUAGCUUUAACAUAUGUAUAAAGUUACCAUCUCCCUAUAUAAAUACCAUUAAAAUUGGGCAAUUAUUCAAGUUAAAAGACUAAAAAAUAACAUUUUUUUUAAGAAUAAAGGACGAACCAGAAACCUAAAAAUGAAGAAACUGGUGCAGAAUUUGGGAUAAAAUCAAGAAGUAUAUUUACUAUAAGAUUAUAAAUUAGAUUGAUGAAAAUGGGUAAGAAGAAUUUCUCUCUGCGUUGACGUACAUUAUUCAAAAAGGGGAAAAAUAAAAUUGGAUUAGACUAACAGGAAGUGAAUCUAUGUAAAAACAAGAAGAAAAUUAUAAUAGCUUCUAGAUAAUUGUAGUGAGAAAGAAACAGAUGAAUGAAUGAAAAGCUGAUUUGACCACAUGGAAAUCGUACUGCUUGUUCUUACUUGUCAAAAUAAUGGAGUCUUUUUUACUUUAUCGGAGGGAAUUGGUGGAGCACACCGUGCUUAGGAUAAGUUAUACUGGCUUGCGGCCACCGGGUCGAACAAAGUUUGGCUUCUUGUGUAUGCACCCCAAUUGGGAAGGAAGGAAAUGAAAAUUUUAGUAAAUAAAA